GACAGAGGGUGCAAACGUUGUUCGGAAUUACUGGGCGUAAAGCGAGUGUCGGCGGUUUGAUAAGUCGGAUGUGAAAGCCCCGGGCUCAACCCGGGAAGUGCACUCGAUACUGUCAAGCUAGAGUAUCGGAGAGGUUGGUGGAAUUCUCGGUGUAGAGGUGAAAUUCGUAGAUAUCGAGAGGAACACCGGUGGCGAAGGCGGCCAACUGGACGAAUACUGACGCUGAGACUCGAAAGCGUGGGUAGCAAACAGG
rnacentral:rRNA from 1 species